CUACGGAGGGUGCGAGCGUUAAUCGGAAUUACUGGGCGUAAAGCGUGCGUAGGCGGUUUGCUAAGUCAGAUGUGAAAGCCCCGGGCUUAACCUGGGAACUGCAUUUGAUACUGGCAGACUAGAGUAUGAUAGAGGGGGGUAGAAUUCCUGGUGUAGCGGUGAAAUGCGUAGAUAUCAGGAGGAAUACCAGUGGCGAAGGCGGCCCCCUGGAUCAAUACUGACGCUGAGGUACGAAAGCGUGGGGAGCGAACAGGAUUAGAAACCCCAGUAGUCC
rnacentral:rRNA from 1 species